AAAGUACUCCCUCCGUCCCAAAAUUCUUGUCUUAGAUUUGUCUAGAUACAGAUGUAUCAAGUCACAUUUUAGUAUUAAAUACAUCCAUAUCUAGACAAAUCUAAGACAAGAAAUUUGGGACAGAGGGAGUAGUUG
rnacentral:pre_miRNA from 1 species